UACGUAGGGUGCGAGCGUUGUCCGGAAUUAUUGGGCGUAAAGGGCUCGUAGGCGGUUUGUCGCGUCGGGAGUGAAAACUCGGAGCUUAACUCCGAGCCUGCUUCCGAUACGGGCAGACUAGAGGUAUGCAGGGGAGAACGGAAUUCCUGGUGUAGCGGUGAAAUGCGCAGAUAUCAGGAGGAACACCGGUGGCGAAGGCGGUUCUCUGGGCAUUACCUGACGCUGAGGAGCGAAAGCGUGGGGAGCAAACAGG
rnacentral:rRNA from 1 species